GAUGAACGCUGGCGGCGUGCCUAAUACAUGCAAGUCGAGCGAACAGACGAGGAGCUUGCUCCUCUGACGUUAGCGGCGGACGGGUGAGUAACACGUGGAUAACCUACCUAUAAGACUGGGAUAACCUCGGGAAACCGGAGCUAAUACCGGAUAAUAUAUUGAACCGCAUGGUUCAAUAGUGAAAGACGGCUUUGCUGUCACUUAUAGAUGGAUCCGCGCCGCAUUAGCUAGUUGGUAAGGUAACGGCUUACCAAGGCAACGAUGCGUAGCCGACCUGAGGGGGUGGUCGGCCACACUGGAACUGAGACACGGACCAGACUCCUACGGGAGGCAGCAGUAGGGAAUCUUCCGCAAUAGGCGAGAGCAUGACGGAGCAACGCCGCGUGAGUGAUAAAGGUCUUCGGAUCGUAAAACUCUGUUAUUAGGGAUGAACAAAUGUGUAAGUAACUGUGCACGUCUUGACGGUACCUAAUCAGAAAGCCACGGCUAACUACGUG
rnacentral:rRNA from 1 species